ACAGAGCCUGCCUGUUGGUCUCUACCCACAGGGGAUCCCCUGCUGCUCCACCAUCAGAUUUGGGACACCACCCCCCCCCCGGCCCCACCAGAGGGCAUCAGCUAUGCCUAGGGGACCACAACAGACUCGACAGGAUCCACCGGUUGGGCCCAAGGCAGGAGGAAGGGCGGCGCCCCCAAACUCCCAGGACGCCUGCAGCACCCCCCACGCGCCGCUCUCCGCCUCUGGGGAGCAUCCUGCCACCCCCCGACACACACACCCCGGCUACAUCCCGCCUUCUCACGCUUGGUCAGGCGCUCUGGAGAUGUCGGAGAUCCAGGCUUUUCCUAAAGAGUCAGGAUUGGAAGGCGGACUCCCACCGUUUGCUGAGCUCCACAUGACAACAGCAGACGACAGGCCGCACUGAUCCCACCUGGCUUACAGGUGCUGUCACACAGGACUGCUGACUAAACACUUUCAAGCACAGUGGACCCUUGAACAACGCAGGUUCAAACUGUGCAGGUCCACCCACAGGGAUGUUUUUCAAUCAGAGUUAUACCAAGUGUCCCUGCCUCUCCUGCCUCCCUUCCCACUUCCUCCAUGUCUUCCUCUCUGCCACCCUGAGGCAGCAAGACCAGCCCCUCCUCCUCAGCCACUCAACAUGAAGACAACGAGGAUGAAGACUUCUAUGAUAAUCCACUUCCACUUAGUAAAUGCUUUCUCUUAUGAUAUUCUUAAUGACAUUUUAUUUUCCCAAGCUUAGUUUAUUGUAAGAAUACAGUAUAAAUACACAUACAAAGUACGUGUUAACUGAUUUUUUAAUGUUACCAGUAAGGCUUCCAGUUAACAGUAGGCUAUUUAUUAGUUAAGUUUGGAGGGAGCCUGAAGUUAUACAAGCUCUGACUGCGUGAGGGGUUGGCUCUCCAACCCUCACAUUGUUCAAGGCUCAACUGCACCUCUCCUACCUAUCUCCCCCACCCUCUGAUGUAGUAGGAUAAAUAUAAAAACACUUAGAAAUCCUUGAAAACCAGGAAAAAUGCCACCAACAGACUAGAACAUUGGAGAAUUUCUGGAAGAUAUAAAGCGGAGGAGAUCAGAUUCGUGGUGAAACGCAAUAGAGCCAAUGGCCUGCAGGUGGGAGACCAUUUCAAGUCUGGAAAUGGGGUAGGGUGGGGGCAGUGGAGAAGGAAUGAGUCAUGGAGCUUGGAUACGGUAAUCACACAAACGGCUACCCAGGUGGCUGAGGCAGUGUCCUGCCUGUCCCCAGGGUAAAGUCUGAGUGCAGCAUUCAGACUGAAGACAAAGAUGCACCGGGAGCCUCCAGAGCCAACACUGGCCCAAAGAGAGAAGCAGGGGCCCGCCCAGGUGACUGCCAGGCACUGUCAGCCACACUGACAGGGAGAGCGGCCCAGAUGAGAGGCCCAGGAAGGCACUCUGCCUUUGCAACGUCCUGGCCUGUCUCCAUGACCACAGGUGCCCAGUGGUGCCAGGGUUGCCAGACAGUGGUGGUUUAGUUGUGUGCAAGAACUACUCUGCACAGCAAGAAUGAUUGGUUGAGACUGACAGAUCGCAAACACACUGCAUUCAGGAACCCUUCACCCUCUCUUAGAAAUGGCUGAGGGUCUCAGCGGGCUUUCAUUCAUAUGAGUUUAUCUAUCAAUAUUUACGGUAGUAGAAGUUCAAGUGAAAAAUAAAUAAAUAUUCAUUUAUCUUAAAAUAAUAAUGGCAUGUUAACAUAAAUAACACUUAUACAUGCUGGGUGUGGUGGCUCACGCCUGUAAUCCCAGCACUUUGGGAGGCCGAGGCGGGCGAGUCACCUGAGGUCGGGAGUUUGAGACCAGCCUGACCAACAUGGUGAAACCCCAUCUUUACCAAAAAUACAAAAAAUUAGCCAGGUGUGGUGGUGCGUGGCUGUAAUCCCAGCUACUCAGGAGGCUGAGACAGGAGAACCGCUUGAACCCGGGAGGCAGAGGUUGCAGUGAGUUGAGAUGGUGCCACUGCAUUGCAGCCCGGGCAACAAGAGUGAAACUCUGUCUCAAAACAAAACAAACAAAACAAAAAAACUCCCCAAUGUCUGGCUUAAUAGCUGGAUUUUCUUUUUUGUUGUUGUAUUUUUUUAUUUUUAUGUAUUUAUGCAUUUAAUUUUUAUGUAUUCAUAUGUAUUUAAUUUUUUAAAUUUAUUUAUUGAGACAGAGUCUCACUCUGACACCCAGGCUGCAAUGCAGUGGCACAAUCUUGGCUCACUGCAACCUCUGCCUCCCAGUUCAAGCAAUCCUCCUGCCUCGGCCUCCCAAGUAGCUGGGAUUACAGGAAUGCACCACC
rnacentral:lncRNA from 10 species